rnacentral:lncRNA from 1 species
GCAGGACCAGCUCCCUCAGCCUGUCCUCCUAGGAGAGAUGCUCCAGUCCCUAAAUAUAGAGAGAAUACAGUAAGAUUAUUAACAGGAUCGCAUGUGCAGCAGGACUGCCUUGAACUGCUCUCACUGCACCAGCUCCAUGAAUUAAAAAGCACACGAACAUCUGUACCCGGAGCAAAGCUGUCCUUGCUUGUGUGCAGGAGGCGCUUCCCGAGCUGCGGGUUUUCCCCGGACCCAGGAGGAGCUGCGGGUUCUCCCCAGACCCAGGAGCAGCUGCGGGCUCUCCCCAGACCCAGGAGCAGCUGCGGGCUCUCCCCAGACCCAGGAGCAGCUGCGGGCUCUCCCCAGACCCAGGAGCAGCUGCGGGCUCUCCCCAGACCCAGGAGCAGCUGCGGGCUCUCCCCAGACCCAGGAGCAGCUGCGGGCUCUCCCCAGACCCAGGAGCAGCUGCGGGCUCUCCCCAGACCCAGGAGCAGCUGCGGGCUCUCCCCAGACCCAGGAGCAGCUGCGGGCUCUCCCCAGACCCAGGAGCAGCUGCGGGCUCUCCCCAGACCCAGGAGCAGCUGCGGGCUCUCCCCAGACCCAGGAGCAGCUGCGGGCUCUCCCCAGACCCAGGAGCAGCUGCGGGCUCUCCCCAGACCCAGGAGCAGCUGCGGGCUCUCCCCAGACCCAGGAGCAGCUGCGGGCUCUCCCCAGACCCAGGAGCAGCUGCGGGUUUUCCCCAGACCCAGGAGGAGCUGCGGGCUCUCCCCAGACCCAGGAGCAGCUGCGGGUUUUCCCCAGACCCAGGAGGAGCUGCGGGCUCUCCCCAGACCCAGGAGGAGCCGCGGGCUCUCCCCGGACCCAGGAGGAGCUGCGGGCUCUCCCCGGACCCAGGAGCAGCUGCGGGCUCUCCCGAGGUGCGGCUGCCGCCAGAUGGAGCCGCCGGGCAGCGGGACCGGGGCGGAAAAACCCAUCCCAGGGAGCCCCGAAACAGCGCCGGGAUCCAGCGCCAACACACCCGAGAGCUGUGCUGAUACUCGAGCAUGGGUGAGCGCUCACCCAGGAGAGAACAGGCAUAAUUCCAUCAGGUCCUGGCUGCGAACCGCGGGCACAAUCGUAUCUUAA